rnacentral:lncRNA from 1 species
AACCCAAACACCAUCUACAUCUCGCUCUGUCUGACUCUCGUCUCUGCUUGCAAAGAACAAAGUGAUAGGCAGCCCACUGGGAAUGCCUUUCCACCCGGAUUUUACCCAAUGUCAGGGUCCAGAUCCAACCUCAGCCAGCAUCUCCCCACUGAGCACUUACUCUGUGCUACCCAUGUGCGAGGCACUGUGCAGGAGGCAGGUGAAGCUCUAACAACCGGCCCCACCCUGCCCUGCCCAGCCUGGUGGGCAGAUCUAUGCCUGGCACCCAGAGAUGGAGGUCUAGAAGGCACCGGAGAGGCCCUCCUGCUCCAUCAACCUUGACAACAGCCUCCUCUUCUCCGGUCCAUCCAUGCGUGACCAGGUGACUGUCUGAUCACGCCACUCUGCCACUCAAAAACCUUCAGUGGUUCUCAUCUUCCCUACAUCCACCAGCUCGUGAGCCCCUGCCAUGUGCUGGAGGUAAGACACCAAAGCUGAUGUCCUAGUUGAGUAAGCAAUUCUUGCUCCCCCUGCUAAGGUGAGAUCUUAAGCGUCUAAGAGCACGAGCUCCGCAGUCAGACAUGAAGACUCACAUCUGCCACUCACUGCAUGUGCUGGCUGUCAUUUCCACAACUACCACUGCCACGACUGCUCCCUUGGACCCCGGAGACUGGCCCCAGCAUGACCCCUGGGCAAACAGAGCAUGUAGUGCAGCAGGAGAACACCGCUUUGGUGGUGGCCUUGCCUGCCGUCUCAAGGGACGCAGGUGUGAAGCAAAGAAAGAUGGAGAUCCCAGGCUAGAGAGGUGGAUGGAACAGGGGAAGCUCCCGGGUAAGUCUGGAGAGGGUGAGCUGGCAGAUGUGUAUACACACGGAGAUUUGGAGACAAGAGUAUGACACAGGGGCCAGCCACAGAGGUGGACUCUGCUCUCUAUCCACGAAGCUUCUAGGUGUGCGGCCUCAUGCCCAGCACUGCCAUUAGGUGAUGGAGUUAGGUAAGGAGCCAUAGUGGCCCAGCGGGUGGGAAGAGAGUGGGAGCGGAUGGAGUCACUGAGGUCAAUGUGAGGAGGGCCAAGGGAUGCCUUUGCAUCAGGCGGUGGGGCAUGGAAGGGAAGAAGGUAGGGCAUCGGGAACAGGCCUCUACAACUGAUAGCGCACAAGGGCAGGGAGCUGGGGAGCAGGGCUAUGCCUCCUAAGGACACCUGUGGGGCUCCCCCACCACAUAGGUAUGGCCACACAGCAAGCUCCAGGCAGUAAGCAUCCGCUGGCUUGGAGCCUGGCAGUGAGGAGCAAGGUGUCGCCCAGCAGGUACCCUAGCUCUCUAAGGCAUCUAUUUCUGUGCCUCCAGGAAGGACUGCCCACCAGGCCCUGCACGGAGAAAGCUGCACCCCAUCCUUCCCUUGGUCUAAAGGGCUGCUCCAUUUUUCCAGUGAGACACAGCCAGGCCCUCCCCAGCACCACAGACAGGCGUCCCCCUCCUCACCCAGCCCUUGACGGUAUGGCCCCACCAGCCCUGUCCCAGCUCUCCUUUGCCCCUUCCCACCCACUGUCUAUAAAGGAAUGAGCACUCGAUACAGGCUGUUAGAGGGAGUAAACCCACCUGCAGAGGGAAGGUCACAGCAUCACUCAGAGAGCACUCUGCUUCGACCUGCCUCGAGAGCCACACCUGAAUUUUCACAUAUGGACAAGAGCUCACCCACAUACAACCACACCAACCCAAAAGUGCAGGAAGAUACCACUUCUCACCAGUCAGACCGGCAAAGGUCAGCACGUUCGACAAUGCUCUGAAUGGGUGGAGCUAUGGCCAAGCACACCGCUUACAAGCUAUUGCUCAGAGAGGAAACAGGUACAGCCUCCUCACGGGGCAACAUGGCAGAAUCAACAGAAGUCAACAACACAUACACGCUUCAACCAGCAUUUCCAUUUGCAGGAAUUGUUCCUACAGGUGUGCACGUUCACUGAGACACCCACUGCAGUGGCGUGGCUUAUUAUAGCCAAGAAAGCAAGCAAGUGCAAAGCCCAUCAGUGGGGUGCGAGUCAAAACAUAAAAAUACGUAUGGCCCGGCUUUCUAACAGAAUAAUAGGCAGCCGUUAAAAAGGAGUCCACUCUGCAUGAGCUGAUACAGAAGGAGGGCCAAGAUACGCCAAGCAUGAAAAGGAAAAAAGGCAAUGGAGGAGCUCGGCAUGUAGAGAAUGCUACUGUCCACGGAAAAGAAGAAGGAUGGAGGGAUCACAGCCAUGCACAUCCCUGCCUGCUGGACUGAGCACACCUCUGGGAGGGCACCAAGCAGGCACCUGGAAAGCAGGCUGGAAGCAGGCAGAGGGAUGCUGCUUUCACCUUAAGUACCAACUAACCAACCAGAGUGUCACCAUGUGGCCAUACUACCUUAAGGAAAUCAACAAAGGGGCGCCUGGGUGGCUCAGUUGGUUAAGCGUUGGACCCCUGGGUUCGGCUCAGGUCACGAUCUCGCAGUUCAUAAGUUUGAGCCCCACAUCGGGCUCAGCGCUGCUGGUGCAGAGCCUGCUUGAGAUUCUCUGCCCCCUCUCUCUGCUCCUCUCCUGCUCUUACUCUCUCUCUCUCAAAAUAAAUAAACCCUCAAGAAAAAAAAUAAAGAACUCUCCCAUGGGACACGCAUCUGUUAGGCUCUUCCAGCCCCUACCUCAAGAAAACACUCAGAAAUGCUUCCCUGAAACCCCAGUGCCCAACACUGUGCCUGGCACAUGGCGUGCUCAGCAAGGGGCUGGCUGGGAUGGCACCAGCACUUUCAGGUCCAAGGUCUCCAUUUAUCCCUGGCAAGCUAGCAGAGACCAGGCCUCGCUCUCACACCCAGGAUAUAUGGGGAGGCGGCUGGGCCAGGCCACCAGCCCGCAACCACACUGCUCUGCAGUGAGCACCCCACCAUCCCCAAAAGCGUACCCAUGAUGGUCAAUGCUCUGUGUCCUGCAAAGACCACCAGGGUAGGCAGGGUACCUGCACAGUGCCUGCAGAGAGCUGCCUCUGGUCCUGGGAAUGGCUUCUGUUGACUAAUUUCUGUACAUAAUUCCACCCAGAAUGAGUCAACAGCAGGGCAGACAGAACUCACACAGGCCAGCCCCAAAGCUGUUGAGAAGGGUGAGAGGGCAGAGCACUGGAUGCCCCAGCCACUGAGAGAGAGCCCCCAGCCCCAGGCCUCCCUCAGAUCAGGCCACCUCCAUCUACAGUGGCUUCUGCAGAGAUAAUCCCCCCAGGCCCUGGAGCAGCACGAAUACCUAGGAUGGGGAAGUGCUCGCUGAUCCUCAGCAGCACUGCAGACUGGCCCCUCACUCUGUCUCAGGCCAGUGCUUCAUCACGUGGGCUGGGCCGGACCAGCCCACUCCACCAGAUUCCACCUAACCACCCCUCAGAGGCAGACGCUGAUUACGAAAUGCCAUCAUUUAUCAAGUCCUGCAUCCCCAGCAAGUCACGGUGACCUGGCAGUAGGCCCCGGGACUGACCCUUCCUGUCCCCGCGGGGUACCUGCCUGAACAGACAGGCUCUUCCAGGCGCCCAGAUGCUACCCGGCCACUCACUGCCUGGGUCACAUGGGGCCCACUCUUUUGUUUCUGGUACCUCAGUCCCCUUGCCUCUCAAAUGGGCUCAUGACCCUCCCCCUUUAGGGGUGCGAUGAGGGAUGAAGGGACUCCUACCCAGGGCACUCAGCACAUGCCAAGAGCUCAGUAACUGGCGCCUGCCAUCAGAAUUUCCAGAAACCUGUCCCAACCCCAUCCUUGCAGCACACGAGCUUGAGCAGGGAGGGGCAAGACAGGGUCCGAGGAGAGCAGGGCCACUCCCACCUGGCCUUCCAGACCAAGCCCAGUAGCAGCACCUCCGUCCACACCUAUGUUUGCCCUCCCUUCUCCUCUGCACUGGCCUUCCCGGCCCAAGCCCCUGCUCCCGGAGCAGCAGCAAAUCCUUGUCAGCAAACAGCACAUUAAUUGCUUCUUGGCCCGGUUUCAAAUGAUAUCACAGCUCGCACAAGAGCCCAGGACGAUGGGUAGCUCCAAUUACUAAUUAAUUGACUGCUCACAUGGAACAAAUCUGAAACCCCAACAGGUUGGGCGGGUGAGCCCCAGGCUUCCUGCCAGCCCCUUUCUUUCAUCAGAGGAGAGCAGAGCUCCGGUCUGGUCCACUUUCAGGAGGGAAGAGCCGGAGCCCUGCCGCCCACCGGCCAGAGGACCUAACGGGGCUGUGAACCGGACCCCGUUCACUGGGUCACUGGUCCUGCCACCUGUGGAGCUCCCAGUGCACAGCGCUAGACUGUAAGCUCCAGGAGAGGGGGACUCGCCUGGAGGACUCAUUGCUGCACCCCCGUCCUAGCAUCAAAUGAGAGCAAAAGUUGCUCAGUAAAUGUGUAUCACAUCAAUGAACGAAUGAAUACCAAGUAUGAUGCCGGAUUUUCAGGAACUGAUACUGAACAAACUCAACACAGGUCCCGGCCUUAUGGCGCUUACAUUCUGAUGCCAGGAAUGCAGUUAGCCAAAUCAGCAGAUGAUUAAAAACUAAAUUGCAAACACAAUAAGGGCCAUGAGGAUGCCCGCAAAGGCAAGACAAAGGUAACAGUGGAACAUUUCCCCAACGGGGAAGCGAAGAACCCAGAUGCUGAGCGAGAAGGAGUCUGCCACCUUCCCAGUGUGCCAACCCCACACCCCCUGGCCUCUGCCAGCACGGGCACCGGCACACCCCUCCACCAUAGAAGACUAUCCACUCAGCAAUGUCACCAGCCACCAAGUGGGGCAGGGUGUUGCCUGGAGAGGAUUUCCUGCAGAAACUCAGUUCCAGGUCCCUGCUCUCCUGCAGGAGGCAACAGGCAUGAAAGGGCUCACAGGGUCCUUUGAUGCCCAGAACAUAUGGAACCCCAAAGUCCCCAGGCACUUUUCUUUAUCUUGGUGACUUUCUAAGACUAUCAAACCACCCCUGCCAGCUGUCUCCGGGCUUCUCAAUGCCCCAAUGUCAUGAUGUGGCACCAUCCAGGUCACCUUGCUCUCCUAGAAAUGGAGAAGUACAAGCUUCUGAAGAAACUUACUUGGGGAAGUGAGGCACAAGCCUGGGUUUGAGUCUCAGCCCUGCUCCUUCCCAGCUGUGAGAUCUGGGAUAAAUGGCAUCCCUUUUGUCUAAGAUGGAGCAAAACUGUCUGCCCAGGAGCUGCUGGCAGACCCCAGAGGCUGACCACAGAGGACUUCCUUUCCCCUGGCUUCCUUCUCUGAUUAUUAUGAGGGUGCAGUAUGGGAAACCAUCCUGGACCCCAAUUUCUGUUUCUCUCUCCCGAUCUUUCCACCUGUCCCACGUUUUAGCAGCCCAGGUGUGUGUGUGACCAGCUCCUACCUGCAUCUUCCCUGAACCAGGAAUCAUGCAAAUUAGGUCCAGAGUCCUUUCCCACCCAAAACUACCUCUUAUUUGGAAAGUGACAAAUCAUGUGGAAGUAUUUCCUGUAUCAAUAUUAAUCCGUGAUGGCUCUAGAAUGUCUACAACACAGGGGCAUAAAGGCGGCCAGCUGCUUAGAAGGCUAGCAACCUGUCUAGAAACACACUGUUUCUGCGUGGAUUAUACGUUUAUUUAAAGUACCUUUGGGAGGUGUCGAUGGAGACUGGGACAGGGUCAUCCUUGGCGCCAACACUGUUUUUAAUAGCAACCACCACCACGAGAUUGUACCAAGCACUGUGCCAAGAGGCUUACGUAUAUCCUAUCAUUUAAUUCUCUUAAUAACCAAGAAGGCAUUGUCCCCAUUUUACAGGUAAGUAAACUGAGGUUCAGAGUCACUAAGUAACUUGCCAAGAUCUUGCAGCUGGCUCAAAAUAAGAGGCAAAACCUGAAUCCAGGUCUGCCGCAUGGCAAAUCCACUGCUGUGGCUAAAGCAAACUGUUGCCCUCCUGCCUUGCUCCCCAGCUGCCCCAGGCUCUGCUCUCCUUCCACUCCGAGGACACCCGUCCCACCCAUUCGACCACCCAGGCCGCCAGUCUGCAGCUGGAGGGCUUCAAACUUCAAACUUCCCACAAAUGGAUUUCUGAGCAGGAGGUUUUUUUGUGUUUUUUUUUCCUCUCCCUUGCUGAAAAGACUGUUCCUCGUGGUUACUGCUGUCUAGUGCUUUUGAAAACAUAAGCGGGGCUUAGUCCAGCUCAGGAGGCCACUGGGUGCUCAUUCAGGUCUGGGUUCCCAGCUUGGGCUCCUCCCCCAAGUAAGAGAAAUGUGGGGCCUGCUCCAGACUCCCCCUAAGGAGGGUGCUCCCUGCCCUAACACACCUGACAGAUUCCCCUCCACACAUGCCGGCCCAGCCCCUGGGAGAGCUCCGCACAAUGAGGCCCGCACCUGCAAGAAUGUCUGUAAAUCCCGGGGCUCUGCACAGGGCAGCCGGAUUGCAGGGAACGGCAGCAGAUCCCAGGAUAAAAGCAGAAGCCAUCCUGUUGACAGUUCAUUCCUGUUUCUCCCCCAAAUCUAUCCACAACAGAACUGUUAAGCUCAUGCUUCCUCUCCUGUUGCAAACAAUUGUAAAAAUGAUUGGUAUCUGC